UACGAAGGGGGCUAGCGUUGCUCGGAAUCACUGGGCGUAAAGCGCACGUAGGCGGCUUCUUAAGUCAGUGGUGAAAUCCUGGAGCUCAACUCCAGAACUGCCUUUGAUACUGAGAAGCUUGAGUCCGGGAGAGGUGAGUGGAACUGCGAGUGUAGAGGUGAAAUUCGUAGAUAUUCGCAAGAACACCAGUGGCGAAGGCGGCUCACUGGCCCGGUACUGACGCUGAGGUGCGAAAGCGUGGGGAGCAAACAGG
rnacentral:rRNA from 1 species